UCCUACGGGGGGCAGCAGUGGGGAAUAUUGCACAAUGGGGGAAACCCUGAUGCAGCGACGCCGCGUGAGUGAAGAAGUAUCUCGGUACGUAAAGCUCUAUCAGCAGGGAAGAAAAAAAGUCUUUGGCUUUGGACGGUACCUGACUAAGAAGCCCCGGCUAACUACGUGCCAGCAGCCGCGGUAAUACGUAGGGGGCAAGCGUUAUCCGGAUUUACUGGGUGUAAAGGGAGCGUAGACGGCAGCGCAAGUCUGGAGUGAAAUGCCGGGGCUCAACCCCGGAAAUGCUUUGGAAACUGUGCAGCUAG
rnacentral:rRNA from 1 species